AAUCAACGCUGGCGGCGUGCCUCAGACAUGCAAGUCGAACGCGAAAGUCCCCUUCGGGGGGCGAGUAGAGUGGCGCACGGGUGAGUAACACGUAGGUAAUCUACCUUUGGAUGGGGAAUAACAACCGGAAACGGUUGCUAAUACCGCAUAAUGCAGCGGCACCUAAUGGUGACAGUUGUUAAAGCGGGGGAUCGUAAGACCUCGCGUCUGAAGAGGAGCCUGCGGCAGAUUAGCUAGUUGGUAGGGUAACGGCUUACCAAGGCGAUGAUCUGUAGCCGGCCUGAGAGGGCGGUCGGCCACACUGACACUGACAUACGGGUCAGACUCCUACGGGAGGCAGCAGUCGGGAAUUUUGGGCAAUGGGCGAAAGCCUGACCCAGCAACGCCGCGUGAAGGAUGAAAUCCCUCGGGAUGUAAACUUCGCAAGAACGGGAAGAAUAAGUAAGAGUUAAUAUCUCUUAUGAUGACGGUACUGUUUGUAAGCUCCGGCUAACUCCGUGC
rnacentral:rRNA from 1 species